rnacentral:rRNA from 1 species
UAUGACGUACUUGUACUGAUUGAGAUUUUAACACGAAGUGAGUGGCGAACGGGUGAGUAACACGUGGGUAACCUGCCCAGAAGUAGGGGAUAACACCUGGAAACAGAUGCUAAUACCGUAUAACAGAGAAAACCGCAUGGUUUUCUUUUAAAAGAUGGCUCUGCUAUCACUUCUGGAUGGACCCGCGGCGUAUUAGCUAGUUGGUGAGGUAAAGGCUCACCAAGGCAGUGAUACGUAGCCGACCUGAGAGGGUAAUCGGCCACAUUGGGACUGAGACACGGCCCAGACUCCUACGGGAGGCAGCAGUAGGGAAUCUUCCACAAUGGACGCAAGUCUGAUGGAGCAACGCCGCGUGAGUGAAGAAGGGUUUCGGCUCGUAAAGCUCUGUUGUUAAAGAAGAACGUGGGUAAGAGUAACUGUUUACCCAGUGACGGUAUUUAACCAGAAAGCCACGGCUAACUACGUGCCAGCAGCCGCGGUAAUACGUAGGUGGCAAGCGUUAUCCGGAUUUAUUGGGCGUAAAGCGAGCGCAGGCGGUCUUUUAAGUCUAAUGUGAAAGCCUUCGGCUCAACCGAAGAAGUGCAUUGGAAACUGGGAGACUUGAGUGCAGAAGAGGACAGUGGAACUCCAUGUGUAGCGGUGAAAUGCGUAGAUAUAUGGAAGAACACCAGUGGCGAAGGCGGCUGUCUGGUCUGCAACUGACGCUGAGGCUCGAAAGCAUGGGUAGCGAACAGGAUUAGAUACCCUGGUAGUCCAUGCCGUAAACGAUGAUUACUAAGUGUUGGAGGGUUUCCGCCCUUCAGUGCUGCAGCUAACGCAUUAAGUAAUCCGCCUGGGGAGUACGACCGCAAGGUUGAAACUCAAAAGAAUUGACGGGGGCCCGCACAAGCGGUGGAGCAUGUGGUUUAAUUCGAAGCUACGCGAAGAACCUUACCAGGUCUUGACAUCUUCUGACAGUCUAAGAGAUUAGAGGUUCCCUUCGGGGACAGAAUGACAGGUGGUGCAUGGUUGUCGUCAGCUCGUGUCGUGAGAUGUUGGGUUAAGUCCCGCAACGAGCGCAACCCUUAUUACUAGUUGCCAGCAUUAAGUUGGGCACUCUAGUGAGACUGCCGGUGACAAACCGGAGGAAGGUGGGGACGACGUCAAAUCAUCAUGCCCCUUAUGACCUGGGCUACACACGUGCUACAAUGGAUGGUACAACGAGUCGCGAGACCGCGAGGUUAAGCUAAUCUCUUAAAACCAUUCUCAGUUCGGACUGUAGGCUGCAACUCGCCUACACGAAGUCGGAAUCGCUAGUAAUCGCGGAUCAGCAUGCCGCGGUGAAUACGUUCCCGGGCCUUGUACACACCGCCCGUCACACCAUGAGAGUUUGUAACACCCAAAGCCGGUGGGGUAACCUUUUAGGAGCUAGC